AGUGAACGCUGGCGGCAGGCUUAACACAUGCAAGUCGAACGGCAACACAGGGUAGCUUGCUGUCUGGGUGUCGAUUGGCGGACGGAUCAUGAAUACAUGUUCAGCAGCCCAGUCGUGGGCGGGAGCUUAUACAAACUUACCCUAAUAGGGCAAAGGAUCAUCGCGUGAGAGCUGGGGAGCGCAAGACCUCUCACGAGGUGAUGUGACGAUGUCGGAUUAGCUAGUUGAGGGGGUAAUGGGCCACCAAGGUGACGCUCCGUAGCUGGUAGGAGAGGAUCAACAGCCACACUGGAACUGAGAAACGGCCGAGACUCCUACGGGAGGCAGCAGUGGGGAAUAUUGGACAAUGGGCGAAAGCCUGAUCCAGCAAUACCGCGUGGGUGAAGAAGGCGUUCGGGUUGUAAAGUGCUUUUGUUCGGAAAGAAAUCUUUCAGGCUAAUACAGUGGGAGGAUGACGGUACCGAAAGAAUAAGCACCGGCUAACUUCGUG
rnacentral:rRNA from 1 species